CUGUUGAGAGCUUUUUUUUCUCUCCGCCGUGGCUCCGGUCCAACACAAACUGAAACAUGAUACAGUGUGUGUAUGCGCCAUAGUGCUAGCGUUUUCCCUGUCUGCCAAAGUGGCGGAUGGCCUGAAGAUUUUAUCCGCCACUGUCAACAAUUUACCUGUAUUUGGCGGGUGGCGGGUGCUAACUUAGGAUCCUGGAGCUGUGGUCGUGCGUUGCAAUUGGUUAAAUUUCGGCGAGUGCAGACCAGAUUUUACUGCACAUGUGUUGUACCCCAAAGAUAUGACGCGUUGAUGAAUCGUGACCUAGCCUCCUUCAAUAGGCCUUGGCAGUUUCCCCCUGCUUCAAGUCUUUGUGCUAAGCUAGGCUAGCAGUUUCCCCCUGCUUCCAGCCUUUGUGCUAAGCUAGGCUAGCAGUUUCCCCCUGCUUCCAGUCUUUGUGCUAAGCUAUGCUAACCAUGUCCUGUACACAGAGAUGAAACAAAAUAUUUUAAAAGCUGGAUUUGUGAAAAUGUUGGAACUUUUCCUUUAACUCCACAGCUUUGUCAGUAACAUGAUGCUCAGUCUGAUUGUGGCUCUGGUUGUCACAGUGUGUUUUUAGCGUGUUUUUGGUGUGUAAAGCAGACUCCAGUGGUGUGUUGUCCUCUCCUCCCUCGCUGGGAAUGGAAGGAAAUGGCCAGUAACUCAGCCUUAUAGUUUCCAUCAUCACCAGUUGUCUCGAUGUGGUGAAAAACAUUUUAAAUUUCAAUCUGAGUGACUUGUGUUGAGCAGUUGUUGAUUAUUUUGUAUGACUUUUAUUUUCAUUCUGUUUUUCAGAGACUUUUGCAGACUGGUUCUAACCAGUCCUGACUGGUUCUGACUGGUUCUAACCAUUCCUGACUGGUUCUGACCGGUUCUGACUGGCUCUGACCAGUCCUGACUGGUUCUGACCAGUCCUCACUGGUUCUGACUGGUUCUAACCAGUCCUGACUGGUUCUGACUGGUUCUAACCGGUCCUGACUGGUUCUGACUGGUUCUGACCAGUGUGUGUAUGAUAACAGUGUGUAGUAUCAGUCCAGUGUGCACUUUCUCUUCAUGUGCCAAAGUUCGUAUUUAAAACUAUACAGUAUUCAGUAUACAGAGCAAGUGAAGUUGUUGGCUAAUAUAUCAGAUUAUGUUUUAAGUAUUUCUUGUUGUUACUUUGGGCUGGAUACCAGUUUAUAGCCAGUUACAGUCUCUUACACCAGUUUGGGACGGUUAUAACUAGAGAUGAACAUAAUUAAGUUAUUACACAAAUUACUUUUUUUAGGUGCGAAAUUAACAGAUUUCUAAUAUGUGGUUGAUUUCUAAGAAUAACACCUGUGAGGCCCCGCUAAUGCAAACUAGCUAUAGCUAGGAGGCUAGCGCUCCAGAUGACUCGCCACACUUAAUAAUAAAUAUAAUGUAAUUAUUGAAAAAAACAGAGGCAGUGUAUAUUCACAGUAAUUCAACAAGUUUGGACUCCCAUGAACAUGAGUUAAUGUGAUGAGUUUAUUAAUUUCCAUUUAAAUGUUAGCGAAUAACUGGACCUGCUUGUCUGUAGUUAUAACCGCCUGUUAGCAGAGCCAGUUAAUGCCUGUUUUGACCAGUAAGAUCAAGUUUUAAUUGGUUUAUUUACAGCCAGUUUGAACCAGUUAGAGCCACUACUAGCCAGCUGGAAACCAGUACAGCCAGUCAGUAUGAAGCUACUACCACAGCUGGUCAGAACUGGUUCUGACUGGUUCUAGAGCUGGUUCUGUCACACUGGACUGUCAUCAGUAUUUUGCCUUACAGUUUCUGAACUUUAUUGAACUUUGCUUUGUGCCAAAUCAGACGACUCGGAUCGCUGUCAGUGUUCAACAGUUACUGUCUGUUUUUGUAUUUAUUUGUCUUUUUUAAUCCAAAGUGUUAUUAUUGUUUUCUUUUUUUUUUACUUCCUGAUAUGAUCUCAGUGGUUUUCAUCCUUUCAAACUGUCUCUGAUUCCUCCUCAUCAGACGGUCAAUGUGUUAUGGACUGUUAUGGGCUGCUGUUACCAUGGAGACCUUCACUGAGAUGAAGCUGAAACAACCAAAUAAUGUUGAUAAACCUCUAAAUAUCACCAAAUAUGGUGUAACAGCAGCAUGGUUGUGUAUUCUUCUUCUUCCUGUUGUACUUCUGGUAUCUUGUUAUUAAUGAUUAUUGAGUAUUGAUUGAUUGAUUGCAGGUUAUUGGUUAGUGGCCGGCCACUGCCUUCCAUCCUGUUUCCCAUCAUGCCCUUCUGUAAGAACAUGAGAACUGUUUAUGAGGAUAUAAAUGAAAUAAAAACAUAAAAACUGA